rnacentral:tRNA from 1 species
GCCCUGUUGGUCUAGUGGUAUGAUUCUCGCUUAGGGUUCACCCUACAGCUCUUGUUUGCGAGAGGUCCCGCGUUCGAUCCGCGGAUAGGGCC